AUUGAACGCUGGCGGUAUGCUUAACACAUGCAAGUCGAACGGCAGCACGAGAGAGCUUGCUCUCUUGGUGGCGAGUGGCGGACGGGUGAGUAACGCGUAGGAAUCUGCCUAGCAGCGGGGGACAACCUGGAGAAAUCCAGGCUAAUACCGCAUACGCCCUACGGGGGAAAGAUGGGGAUCUUCGGACCUGUCACUGCUAGAUGAGCCUGCGUUAGAUUAGCUUGUUGGUGGGGUAAUGGCCUACCAAGGCGACGAUCUAUAACUGGUCUGAGAGGAUGACCAGUCACACUGGGACUGAGACACGGCCCAG
rnacentral:rRNA from 1 species